rnacentral:rRNA from 1 species
CCAAUAGCGUAUAUUAAAGUUGUUGCAGUUAAAAAGCUCGUAGUUGAAUUUCGGGAUCAAUUUAUCGGUCGUGCCUACGGUAUGAACUGGUACAAUUGGUUUCUCCCUUCUGACGAAGCUCGAUGUCAUUAACUUGGUGUCGGGGGGAAUCAGGACUGUUACUUUGAAAAAAUUAGAGUGUUUAAAGCAGGCCUUGGCUUGAAUACAUUAGCAUGGAAUAAUGAAAUAGGACGUUUGAUCCUAUUUCGUUGGUUUCUAGGAUCGACGUAAUGAUUAAUAGGGAUAGUUGGGGGCAUUAGUAUUCAAUUGUCAGAGGUGAAAUUCUUGGAUUUAUUGAAGACUAACUACUGCGAAAGCAUUUGCCAAGGGUGUUUUCAUUAAUCAAGAACGAAAGUUAGGGGAUCGAAGACGAUCAGAUACCGUCGUAGUCUUAACCAUAAACUAUGCCGACUAGGGAUCGUAUGAUGUUAAUUUUUUAAUGACUCAUUCGGCGCCUUACG